rnacentral:rRNA from 1 species
UUCCCCGGGGCGCCUAACCAUGCAAGUCGAGCGGAUKWCGGGYAGSUUGACUGCUCUUGAUUCAGCGGCGGACGGGUGAGUAAUGCCUAGGAAUCUGCCUGGUAGUGGGGGACAACGUUUCGAAAGGAACGCUAAUACCGCAUACGUCCUACGGGAGAAAGCAGGGGACCUUCGGGCCUUGCGCUAUCAGAUGAGCCUAGGUCGGAUUAGCUAGUUGGUGGGGUAAUGGCUCACCAAGGCGACGAUCCGUAACUGGUCUGAGAGGAUGAUCAGUCACACUGGAACUGAGACACGGUCCAGACUCCUACGGGAGGCAGCAGUGGGGAAUAUUGGACAAUGGGCGAAAGCCUGAUCCAGCCAUGCCGCGUGUGUGAAGAAGGUCUUCGGAUUGUAAAGCACUUUAAGUUGGGAGGAAGGGCAGUAAGUUAAUACCUUGCUGUUUUGACGUUACCGACAGAAUAAGCACCGGCUAACUCUGUGCCAGCAGCCGCGGUAAUACAGAGGGUGCAAGCGUUAAUCGGAAUUACUGGGCGUAAAGCGCGCGUAGGUGGUUCGUUAAGUUGGAUGUGAAAGCCCCGGGCUCAACCUGGGAACUGCAUCCAAAACUGGCGAGCUAGAGUACGGUAGAGGGUGGUGGAAUUUCCUGUGUAGCGGUGAAAUGCGUAGAUAUAGGAAGGAACACCAGUGGCGAAGGCGACCACCUGGACUGAUACUGACACUGAGGUGCGAAAGCGUGSSGAGCAAACAGGAUAGGAUA